ACGUAGGUGGCAAGCGUUAUCCGGAAUUAUUGGGCGUAAAGGGUGCGUAGGCGGUUUGUUAAGUCUGAAGUAAAAGCCAGUGGCUCAACCAUUGUAAGCUUUGGAAACUGGCAGACUAGAGUGCAGGAGAGGCAAAUGGAAUUCCAUGUGUAGCGGUAAAAUGCGUAGAUAUAUGGAGGAACACCAGUGGCGAAGGCGGUUUGCUGGCCUGUAACUGACGCUGAGGCACGAAAGCGUGGGGAGCAAAUAGG
rnacentral:rRNA from 1 species